UUGACCAAAUUACGUGCCAGCAGUCGCGGUAAUACGUAGAAGACUAGUGUUAUUCAUGUUUAAUCGGUUUAAAGGGUACCUAGACGGCAGAUCAAGCUUUCCGAGCAGAAAAAAAAGUAAAAAGGACUAAUUUGCUAGAGUUACUUACGAGGGGGUUUUAAAGUACUGCUGGUGUAGAGAUGAAAUUCUUUAAUACCUAUUUUCGAAAGAAUUAUAAUGGCACAGGUAUAGGCGAAGGCAUCCCCUUAUGUGAUAACUGACGUUGAGGGACGAAGGCUUUAUACAACGAACGGGAUUAGAUACCCCACUAGUGGAAGCAGUAAAUGAUGAAUGUCAUAGAUUAGCUAGAUAGGUUCAUUCUAUAAAUGAAAGUGUAAGCAUUCCACCUCAUGAGUAAUAUGGCAACAUUGGAAUUGAAAUCAUUAGACCGUAUCUGAAACCAGUAGUGAAGUAUGUUGUUUAAUUUGAUGAUCCGCAAAAACCUUACCACAAUUUGAAUAUAUAUAUUUUUUUUAUUGCUUGUCAUUAAAUUGUUCUUUUACAGAUAUAGCAUACAUUGAAGUAAGUGGAAACAAUUAUUAAGAGGCAUUAGAUAUUUUACAGCGUUGACGGCUGUCUUCAGUUAUGUCGCGAGAUUUGGUUAGAUCAUAAAAUAACGUAACCCUUACUUAUUUUAGAUAGAGUGUCCCCACUAUA
rnacentral:rRNA from 1 species